rnacentral:lncRNA from 1 species
GUCAAAUACUUGAGCAUGAUUCAUACUCAUCGGAAGAAAUCGAGAGAGGGCGCUGACCUUUUUUCCCUCUCAGUCUCUCUCUUUGACCGUCGAGGCUUCGACGGCCCUCGCUCUCAUCGACGGUAACUCGGUGACGGACUGCAGUCGAAUAGUUGAUCGAUCUGUCUGGGUUUUUACUUUCUGGGUUUUCAAUCAAUCUCUCAAGUAUUCGAAUAGCCUCAAACUCUUGGUUGCUCUCUUCCUCAAGCAGCAAAGCAGAAAUUCUUGGUUGCUUUCCGGGGAUCACAUGAGCCACAAGCUCAGCCACGUCCCGAGGAUGCUCCAGCACAGCAGUCCUAUUAUCCUCACUUUGUUAACUCCCCGAGCUCUUCUCGUCCUUUAACUCCGAGUUGAACCUCUUCUUCUUCCAAUUCGAGUUCUAGGGGUAACUCCCCGUCACCUGUUUCUCCCACUGAAGCUGCUGGUGUUAUUGCUUCUUUGAAGGACAAAGGCGAGACCUAUCAGUACUAUGAUUUGCCUUUCUGCCUUCCAGAUCCAGUAAUUCAAAAGAAAGAAUCCAUUGGGGAAGUUUUGUGUGGUGAUCGUUUGACCAACAGCUUAUAUCAGUUGAAUUUC